CCCGGAAUUGGUUUUUGCUCCUAAUUUAAAAAAUCUGCUUUUAAAUACAUAACCUUUCAUUUUUGUCUCGUUUUUGUCCGGUGAUCAAUUUUUUUGUACGCCGACGCCGGAAAUUACACGGUGGCAGCCGGAAUUGAUGUGGUGGCAGUCGGAAUUGACACCUUGGUAUAUUAUUGACACGUGGAAAAAAAGAUAAUAAAAAAAAAGAAAAAAACCCACAUCAUCAUCUUCCCCAACCUCCCCCACACCCAAACCCUAAUUCCCCUCCCCCACCCGCAGCCGCCACCACCGCCGGUGCUGCCCCCUGCCACCACUGAACAAUCCAUUUUCUCUUCCUCUCUCACAAACUCGGCUGACCCUCUCUUCUCUCAACAAAUAUCUCUCAAAACGAACUCACGCGCACGACACCACACUUCUCCUUCUUCCUCAACAACCGCCGACCUCCCCUCUCUGAAAUUCCGGCAACAGCAGCGGCGAAGCCGCCGCCAUCGUCUCUCUCUCAAACCCCAUCUCUCACUCACUCCAAAUCUGAAAGGAAAAAAUGGUCGCUGCAACCCGAAGCCCUAAAUCCCCAAAUUCAGUCUCCACCCUCGUCUCAACCUCUCCUACCUCCCUCUUCUCCGGCCAACACUCACAAUCACACAGAAAUUCACAGACCACGCACACACAGACCUCUUCUCCGGCC
rnacentral:lncRNA from 1 species